UAGCUAGUUAUUGUAAUCGUCUUAAUAAUUUAGAAGGUAGUCGUUAGACGCAAAUGAAAUACCUUUAUUUAUUAAUGAUAGUUACUAUGCUUAAUAAGCUAAUAUGACUAGUGGGUAGUUUAACUGGGACGGUUUCCUCCAAUAAAGUAUCGGAGGACCUCAAAGGUAUGCUGAUGUUAGAUGGAAGCUAACAUGUCAUGAGGACAUACAAAAGCCCAUAGGUAUAUGCAUGCUUAACUGCAAGACCCAUAAGUCAAAGCAGAUACUUAAGUAGGACUAAGUGAUCCGCUAGUUCUAUAUGGAUAGGCUAGCGCUCAAGA
rnacentral:rRNA from 1 species